AGACCCGAAACCCGGUGAUCUAGCCAUGGGCAGGUUGAAGGUUGGGUAACACUAACUGGAGGACCGAACCGACUAAUGUUGAAAAAUUAGCGGAUGACCUGUGGCUGGGGGUGAAAGGCCAAUCAAACCGGGAGAUAGCUGGUUCUCCCCGAAAGCUAUUUAGGUAGCGCCUCGUGAAUUCAUCUCCGGGGGUAGAGCACUGUUUCGGCUAGGGGGCCAUCCCGGCUUACCAACCCGAUGCAAACUGCGAAUACCGGAGAAUGUUAUCACGGGAGACACACGGCGGGUGCUAACGUCCGUCGUGAAGAGGGAAACAACCCAGACCGCCAGCUAAGGUCCCAAAGUCAUGGUUAAGUGGGAAACGAUGUGGGAAGGCCCAGACAGCCAGGAUGUUGGCUUAGAAGCAGCCAUCAUUUAAAGAAAGCGUAAUAGCUCACUGGUCGAGUCGGCCUGCGCGGAAGAUGUAACGGGGCUAAACCAUGCACCGAAGCUGCGGCAGCGAACGUAUCACCCAAGACAACUUUACGGAGUUGACGAUUGACGGAGCGAAGCGACGUCAAAGCGUUCAUUAAAGUCGAGUUGGCUUAGGGAUACGUUCGUUGGGUAGGGGAGCGUUCUGUAAGCCUGUGAAGGUGUGUCGUGAGGCAUGCUGGAGGUAUCAGAAGUGCGAAUGCUGACAUAAGUAACGAUAAAGCGGGUGAAAAGCCCGCUCGCCGGAAGACCAAGGGUUCCUGUCCAACGUUAAUCGGGGCAGGGUGAGUCGACCCCUAAGGCGAGGCCGAAAGGCGUAGUCGAUGGGAAACGGGUUAAUAUUCCCGUACUUGGUGUUACUGCGAAGGGGGGACGGAGAAGGCUAUGUUGGCCGGGCGACGGUUGUCCCGGUUUAAGCGUGUAGGUGUGUGUUCCAGGUAAAUCCGGUUCACUUUAACACUGAGGCGUGACGACGAGGCACUACGGUGCUGAAGCAACAAAUGCCCUGCUUCCAGGAAAAGCCUCUAAGCAUCAGGUAACAUCAAAUCGUACCCCAAACCGACACAGGUGGUCAGGUAGAGAAUACCAAGGCGCUUGAGAGAACUCGGGUGAAGGAACUAGGCAAAAUGGUGCCGUAACUUCGGGAGAAGGCA
rnacentral:rRNA from 1 species